GGUGGGCUGGCAGAGUGGCUGAAUGCAGCGGUCUUGAAAACCGCCGACGGUUAGUAGCCGUCCCGGGGUUCGAAUCCCUGGCCCACCGCCA
rnacentral:tRNA from 7 species